GAUGAACGCUGGCGGCGUGCCUAACACAUGCAAGUCGAACGAUUAAGACGUCUUUGGACGUGUAUAGAGUGGCGAACGGGUGAGUAACACGUGACCAACCUGCCCCCUACUCCGGGAUAACGCAAGGAAACCUGCGCUAAUACCGGAUACUCCUUAUCUCUCUCAUGAGAGAUUCGGGAAAGCCUUGUGCGGUAGGGGAGGGGGUCGCGGCCCAUUAGGUAGACGGCGGGGUAAUGGCCCACCGUGCCUGCGAUGGGUAGCCGGGUUGAGAGACCGGUCGGCCACAUUGGGACUUGGAUACGGCCCAGACUCCUACGGGAGGCAGCAGUGGGGAAUUUUGCGCAAUGGGGGAAACCCUGACGCAGCAACGCCGCGUGCGGGAUGACGGCCUUCGGGUUGUAAACCGCUUUCAGCAGGGAAGAUUAUGACGGUACCUGCAGAAGAAGCCCCGGCUAACUACGUGCCAGCAGCCGCCGUAAAAC
rnacentral:rRNA from 1 species